rnacentral:rRNA from 1 species
AAUGGGUCAGCGACUUAUAUUCUGUAGCAAGGUUAACCGAAUAGGGGAGCCGAAGGGAAACCGAGUCUUAACUGGGCGUUAAGUUGCAGGGUAUAGACCCGAAACCCGGUGAUCUAGCCAUGGGCAGGUUGAAGGUUGGGUAACACUAACUGGAGGACCGAACCGACUAAUGUUGAAAAAUUAGCGGAUGACUUGUGGCUGGGGGUGAAAGGCCAAUCAAACCGGGAGAUAGCUGGUUCUCCCCGAAAGCUAUUUAGGUAGCGCCUCGUGAAUUCAUCUCCGGGGGUAGAGCACUGUUUCGGCAAGGGGGUCAUCCCGACUUACCAACCCGAUGCAAACUGCGAAUACCGGAGAAUGUUAUCACGGGAGACACACGGCGGGUGCUAACGUCCGUCGUGAAGAGGGAAACAACCCAGACCGCCAGCUAAGGUCCCAAAGUCAUGGUUAAGUGGGAAACGAUGUGGGAAGGCCCAGACAGCCAGGAUGUUGGCUUAGAAGCAGCCAUCAUUUAAAGAAAGCGUAAUAGCUCACUGGUCGAGUCGGCCUGCGCGGAAGAUGUAACGGGGCUAAACCAUGCACCGAAGCUGCGGCAGCGACACUAUGUGUUGUUGGGUAGGGGAGCGUUC